CUGGUUGAUCCUGCCAGUAGUGUAUGCUUCUCCUAAAGACUAAGCCAUGCAUGUCUUCGAAUAAGAGGAAGCAAUUCUCUCUGAAUCUGCGAACGGCUCCGCAAACCAGUUGUAAACUAUAGCAAGCUCUCCUAUGAUCGCCCCUUCACGGGGGGGGUCUGGGAAAUAGGGAUAACCCUGGUAAUUCUGAGGCUAAUACCACCACGUAAAACCUGGCUGACUGGGCAACCGGAAGGCUGGGGGGCGUGCAAUUUUUUCGCGAGGUUUACCGGGAAGGGACGCACGUCUGGACCGCGCAAAACGGAUGACUGGGCCUUCGGGACUGGGCUUCUAGCGGCUCUUGCUGUGUGCUUCUGACCUAUCAACUAGAUGGCAGCGUAAGGGACAUGCUAUGGUGACAACGGGUACAGAGGAUUAGGGUUCGAUCCUGGAGAGUGGGCCUGAGAGAUUGCUCAUACUUCUAAGGAAGGCAGCAGGCGCGCAACGUUCCCAUUGGACAUCGUCCGAGGGCGUUAGGGGACAUAUGAAUGUCUGCCCAUUGGGUGGACAAUUCAAAUGGGUCUGUUCUAAACAGGCUCUCGAGUAACAAUUAGAGGACAAGUCUGGUGCCAGCACCCGCGGUAAUUCCAGCUCUAAUAGCAUACGUUAAAGUUGUUGCGGUUAAAACGCUCGUAGUCGGCCUGAGACCAUCAGAUGCCUGAGCAGGGAACCCGGGACUGUGCCUUUCGAGGUGCGCUGGGCGACUAACAAGGGCGGGCGGUAGUCAAGUGUGCCGUAGGCUGUACCCUCCGGGGUUCACAGAGGUCUCGACCACCCCCUUGUGGGGAGGGAGGGGCUUCGGCUUGCGGUACCACUUACCAUAAUCAAACUGGGGUGAUCAAAGCAGGUCGUCAGACCUUGCACAGCACAGUAUGGCGUAAGUCUUACUGGCCGGCACUUGCGAGGUGCCGGUCGGUAGAAGCGAUAGGGACGUUCGAGGGUGACCGAAUUGCUGGGCGAGUGGUGAAAUACGUUGACCCUAGCAAGUCGACCAAAGGCGAAAGCAGUCAUCAAGGGCAUACCCGUUGAUCAAGAGCGAAAGUUAAGGGUUCGAAGACGAUCAGAUACCGUCGUAGUCUUAACUAUAAAUGAUACUGACUAGGGAUAGGACACCGUCCAUCUCGACUCCUCCUGGACCUUAGAGAAAUCAAAGUCUUUGAGUUCUGGGGGGAGUAUGGUCGCAAGGCUGAAACUUAAAGGAAUUGACGGAAGGGCACACAAAGAGUGGAACCUGCGGCUUAAUUUGACUCAACACGGGAAAACUCACCAGGUCCGGAUACACGUAUGAAAGACAAGCUGAAAGACUUUUCUCAAUGAUGUAAGUGGUGGUGCAUGGUCGUUCUUAGUUCGUGGAGUGGUUUGUCUGGUUUAUUCCGAUAACGAGCGAGACCCCGGCGUUCCUAAUAGGGGUGGCAGCCCGGCUCGCGCUUCGGCGCUUGCUAGCACGCCACCUCGCAAUUGCUUCUUAGACGUAUCAGAGCCGAUAAGGUUCUUGAAAUGGGUUAAUAACAGGUCAGUCAUGCCCUUAGAUGUUCUGGGCCGCACGCGCGUUACAAUGGUAGGCUUAAACAGUGCCUUCUACGGGCGUUUCCGGGGCCGACGGGUCCCGGUAACCCCUAGUCUCUCCCUUGACUGGGCCAGACUAUUGCAAUUAUUGGUCUCAAACGAGGAAUUUUUAGUAAUCGCAGGUCAUUAACCUGCGAUGAAUGCGUCCCUGCCCUUUGUACACACCGCCCGUCGCUGCUACCGAUUGGGUUUUGCGGUUACGAGUUCCGAGGUCGCGGCCGUCCGCCCCCGCAAGGGGGUGGUGGCUGCAGCCGAAGUCCUAAUUACCGCACGGCCUAGAGGAAGCAGAAGUCGUAACAAGGUAAUCGUAGGUGAACCUGCGUUUGG
rnacentral:rRNA from 1 species